AUUGAACGCUGGCGGCAGGCUUAACACAUGCAAGUCGAGCGGAGAUGAGGUGCUCGCACCUUAUCUUAGCGGCGGACGGGUGAGUAAUGCUUAGGAAUCUGCCUAUUAGUGGGGGACAACAUUCCGAAAGGGAUGCUAAUACCGCAUACGUCCUACGGGAGAAAGCAGGGGAUCUUCGGACCUUGCGCCAAUAGAUGAGCCUAAGUCGGAUUAGCUAGUUGGUGGGGUAAAGGCCUACCAAGGCGACGAUCUGUAGCGGGGCUGAGAGGAUGAUCCGCCACACGGGGACUGAGACACGGCCCAGACUCCUACGGGAGGCAGCAGUGGGGAAUAUUGGACAAUGGGGGGAACGCUGAUCCAGCCAUGCCGCGUGUGUGAAGAAGGCCUUAUGGUUGUAAAGCACUUUAAGCGAGGAGGAGGCCACUGAGACUAAUACUCUUGGAUAGUGGACGUUACUCGCAGAAUAAGCACCGGCUAACUCUGUGCCAGCAGCCGCAGUAA
rnacentral:rRNA from 1 species